rnacentral:lncRNA from 1 species
GACAGAUGUUAAAGUUCGUGGUCUGUGAUAGUCUGUUCUUAUGCUCAGAUGCCAGGUGAAUUUAGCAUCUCUGCUAUAGCCCUGAGUUAGUUGCGACAGCUCUGUAUGCAAGCAAGCCAGCAUUUCCACUAGUCUCUUCCCUGAGAAACAAGCUCUUCACUGGGUGCAACAUUGAGCUCAGAAGACUUAAAGAAAAGAGGUAACACACAGAUGUAUUCCCUGAAAGCACUUAACUGAGAAAUAGACAUCCUUGACUGGAUUACAGAAAGCACAGUUUUAGUUGUGUAAUUCUAAGAAUUUGAUCAUUCCGUGCUUCUAGUUCCCUUUCCUUUAUCAGUAGGGCAGCAAUCCUCCCUGGCUCAAGGUCUGUGAAUUCGGAGUACAAACUCAAAGCUACAAGAGACAAAGUAAAUAAGUUAAAUAAUCACAUUCUCAAGAUUUCUUAAUGCACACAACUGAAAAUAGAGCCUUUCUUUAGAAGUAAUUAUUACCAAGAUUCUUAAACUUUAUUUUGGAAAUGUAUGGUGUGCAGAAGCAUUUCCACACCAUCCCUUUGCUGGAAUUUCCAAGACAAUUAUACAAAAAAAAGAAAAAAAAGAAAAAAAAGAAAAAAAAAAAGACUUGCAAAACACCAACAGUGAAGUUCAUUCAUUUAAUUAAAAUGAAAAACAGCCCAUAGAUUUAAAGGAGAACUUGGUCCACAUACACAAACGAUGUAAGUUUUGUUCUAGUCCAUUCUAUAGUGGAAUUGAUACUUUGUUUCUGGAAUAAUCUAAUUAAAGAAGUGCUGUUAUAGUAUCUAUAAAACAGUAUGUAAAUAUACAAAACACCAAUUCAUGUUCUAAACUAUAUGGCAUAUCAAAUCCUCCUUUAAAGAGAAAUAAUUUGUAGUCUACAAUUGAACAUAUUUAAAUACUAUGCAGAAACCCAGUGCUUCAGUGAUAGUUUUUCUACAGUUCUUCCCUUGAUAUUUUAAGUUUGAAAACCAGCAAAGUUUAAAAUUAGCAAAUAUAUAAAUUUGGUCCGCAAAAAACUUGUAGCAAGUAGAAAAGAGAAAUACAUGUAUUGCAAAUUGAUCUUAUUCGUAGCAUAAAUCUAUAAAACUAUGUAUUAUUUAGGAAAAAAUAGGUUAAAAAAGAUCUUAUUUAUAGGUUUAAACCUUGUCCCAAUAUCAUAAAGGUAGUGUACAGAGAAAUUACUAUUAUGAUUAGUGUAUGUAGUUUGUGAAAACUACUUAAUAUUUCUUGUUAUUUUCUCAGUAAAUUGCAACACAUGGAAUUCAAAAACAAUGUGCUACUACAGUGGACUUAGUGUGAAAACGAACCAUCCCAGAAAUACAUGAAUUUAAAGAAAAUAACUCCAUAAAUUUGAAAUACAUGCUUUCUUAAAUUAAUUUGACAUUACUGUUUUAAUUUUUUUUUAAACACUUUUCUCUAUACAUCUUUAGUGGCAACAGAUAAACAGACUGUCAAAAACUGAAUUUGUUGGCAGGAUUUUUCUAUCGUCCCUCUAUCAGAUUCAACUCUAUUAAAUGCUAGUUGACUAAUAUUGGAAUGAUUUUAAAUAUAGUAUUCUACUUUCUACAAAUGUGUAGAAACUUCAAUUAAGAGGGCAUAUGAUGUCUUAGAAGCACAAAUAUUACUUAAGGCAGGAAGUUAAAUUACUAUUAGUACAGGCAGAGUCAACUAGGAAUGAAAAUACUGAAAAUAUUUCAUUUUAUCAGGUUGUAAUGGGGAGGGACUGUAAUCAAAAAGUAAAAAAACAAAAAAACAAACCUACCAUAUUAAACUGUUGCACUUUCCCUUCUCCCCUCAAUUGUACAAUUAUAUACAAAUCUGCUGAACUUCCUCAGGAUGACACAGGUAUGCACUAAGAUUAAAGGCAGGGUCACUUUAGCAGCUGGAUUCAAGAGUGGUGACCACUCUGGCAGUCUUGCGAACUUCUCUCUCUUUCUUCUGAACUUUUUCCUUCUGUUUUUCUAGUUUUUCUUGUGUUUUCCUAAUAUCCUUAAUUUUUUUCUUUAUUGUUGAUCGGUCAUUUUGACUGGAAACUCCCAAAGCCUUUAACUUAUCACUGUCGAGUUGCAUUAACUGCUGUCCAUCGAUGUUCAUAGCUGUAAACUCUGUAAUAUACUGCUCCAUGUUCAUUCCCAUUAGCCAGUGGCAAACUUGCUGUGUGGUCCAUUCAGAGAUAGGUCUACUGUGCCAUUGAUUCUG